CAGUAGCCGCGGUAAUACGAAGGGUGCAAGCGUUGCUCGGAAUGACUGGGCGUAAAGGGCGCGUAGGCGGCGAUCAAAGUCAGGCGUGAAAUUCCUGGGCUCAACCUGGGGGCUGCGCUUGAUACUUGGUUGCUUGAGUGGGGAAGAGGGUCGUGGAAUUCCCAGUGUAGAGGUGAAAUUCGUAGAUAUUGGGAAGAACACCGGUGGCGAAGGCGGCGACCUGGUCCUUGACUGACGCUGAGGCGCGAAAGCGUGGGGAGCAAACAGGAUUAGAUACCCCUGUAGUCCCUGUCUCUUAUAC
rnacentral:rRNA from 1 species